GACGAAGGGGGCUAGCGUUGUUCGGAAUUACUGGGCGUAAAGCGCGUGUAGGCGGUUGUUCAAGUCGGGUGUGAAAGCCUUGAGCUCAACUCAAGAAAUGCACUCGAUACUGGAUGACUAGAGGACCGGAGAGGAUAGUGGAAUUCCCAGUGUAGUGGUGAAAUACGUAGGGAUUGGGAAGAACACCAGUGGCGAAGGCGGCUAUCUGGACGGUUUCUGACGCUAAGACGCGAAAGCGUGGGGAGCAAACAGG
rnacentral:rRNA from 1 species